GUACAUACUUCGGUAGAGCGAAACUGCGGAUAGCUCAUUAAAUCGCCUCUAUUUUGUUUGAUAGUCCUCCACUGGAUAUCCGUGGAAAAUCUAGAGCCAAUACUUGCACUGAUAUCUAACAAGCAAAUGCUUCUUGUUAGAUGCAUUUAUUGGAUAUCCGAUCGCUCACAUUGCGAGCGUUAGGUGAUUCUAAAUGACUUUGCUGAUCGUAUGGCCUUGUGCCGACGACAGAUCAAACAAGAUCGCGCCCUAUCAAUUUGUUGUUAGGAUAUUUUCCUAACAAGGUUGUAACGGGUGACGGGGAAUCAGGGUUUGAUUCCGGAGAGGGAGCAUGAGAUAUAGCUACCACAUCUAAGGAAGGCAGCAGGCGCGCAAAUUACCCACUCCCGACACGGGGAGGUAGUGACGAGAAAUAUCGGCUCCUAUUCAAU
rnacentral:rRNA from 1 species